UGGGGAAUAUUGCACAAUGGGCGCAAGCCUGAUGCAGCCAUGCCGCGUGUGUGAAGAAGGCCUUCGGGUUGUAAAGCACUUUCAGCGAGGAGGAAGGUGGUGAACUUAAUACGUUCAUCAAUUGACGUUACUCGCAGAAGAAGCACCGGCUAACUCCGUGCCAGCAGCCGCGGUAAUACGGAGGGUGCAAGCGUUAAUCGGAAUUACUGGGCGUAAAGCGCACGCAGGCGGUUUGUUAAGUCAGAUGUGAAAUCCCCGGGCUCAACCUGGGAACUGCAUUUGAAACUGGCAAGCUAGAGUCUCGUAGAGGGGGGUAGAAUUCCAGGUGUAGCGGUGAAAUGCGUAGAGAUCUGGAGGAAUACCGGUGGCGAAGGCGGCCCCCUGGACGAAGACUGACACUCAGGUGCGAAAGCGUGGGGAGCAAACA
rnacentral:rRNA from 1 species